rnacentral:rRNA from 1 species
GCAGUCUAGUAUAGCAUUAUACCGUGAAACUGCGAAUGGCUCAUUAAAUCAGUUAUCGUUUAUUUGAUAGUACCUUACUACUUGGAUAACCGUGGUAAUUCUAGAGCUAAUACAUGCUGAAAACCCCAACUUCGGGAGGGGUGUAUUUAUUAGAUAAAAAACCAACGCCCUUCGGGGCUUCUUGGUGAUUCAUGAUAACUUUACGGAUCGCAUGGCCUUGCGCCGGCGACGGUUCAUUCAAUUUUCUGCCCUAUCAACUUUCGAUGGUAAGGUAUUGGCUUACCAUGGUUUCAACGGGUAACGGGGAAUUAGGGUUCGAUUCCGGAGAGGGAGCCUGAGAAACGGCUACCACAUCCAAGGAAGGCAGCAGGCGCGCAAAUUACCCAAUCCCGACACGGGGAGGUAGUGACAAUAAAUACUGAUACAGGGCUCUUUUGGGUCUUGUAAUUGGAAUGAGUACAAUUUAAACCUCUUAACGAGGAACAAUUGGAGGGCAAGUCUGGUGGACAUUCAGCUCCCACUUUGCUGACGCCAGAGAUAGUCGGGCAUCUUUCGAGGUGUUACGCCGGCUAGUCGAUGUACCUACUAAAAUGAUGGGGAGGUACCGGCAAGACAACCUGGAUCGGGGAAGGCUAAGGCAUUCAAGCAAUGCUAUGCUAAUCCCGAGCAGAGCUACUGUAGAGCGAUUUACAGAUAGCCUGUGUAGAGCACGGAAAGGUGUCGGCCAACUCAAGUAGUUGGCUUAAGGGACGUGCCAUUCUCAUCUGAAAAGGUGGCUGUCAGCAAUAGCGCCCAUCACGCGAAGGCUGACAGGUUCAAGCGUACACGUUUGAAGUUAAAUAGGCCAGCAGCCGCGGUAAUUCCAGCUCCAAUAGCGUAUAUUAAAGUUGUUGCAGUUAAAAAGCUCGUAGUUGAACCUUGGGUCUGGCUGGCAGUCCGCCUCACCGCG